AAUAAUGAAUUUUCAUCAACCUUAUCACUUUGCACGACCAUUAUUCUGAAAAACAGAGAGAAAAGAAAACCAAAAACCAUUUCUUGGCUGGUUUGAAGAAAUUCUAAGGAGAUCCAAGUGAAAGCAAAGCCAAAGAAGUAGAUUAAGCUUAGUUCUAGCCUUUUUAUGAUAUUUCUUGGGGUUUCCAAGUGGUUUGAGGUUUAGAAAAGCUUGAAGAGAUUGUUUUCGCCGAAAAGUUGCUCGGAUAAGCACAUCAAUACCUAAGACACCACUUGUUACACGGUGAACUAUAUUUUGGACAAAAGGUAAGUAAAGUACUCAACUGCAACACAAGAAUUACAUGUUAUGUGAAAGUAUGCAUUAUAUGAAUAUUUUGUGAGUAAGUGGUAUUAACAUACAUUGACACUUCAUCAUAAAUUUGUAUGCAUGGCAUAAUAGUGAUAUGGUAAAUUAUUAUAUGAUAUAAGACCAUGCAUGAUAUUAUGAUGAUUAAUUAUAUGAUGCCUUUGCAAGUUUUGUGCAACAUAAAAGAAAGUUGUAAUAAGAAGUUUAAGUUCAGUGCCACUGUUUUGAAAAGGCAAAUGAAAGUGUUAAUAAGUGUAAACGGAGGCCUAUAGUAGGCUUAUAGUGGCUGCCCAAUAAUUUGGGCUAGGUUUAGUGAACCAAUUAUAUUGUUUGCCAUAUUUCCGUUUUUAUUUCUCCUCCAUAUGAGUUAUUGUUAUAUGUAUUGACACCACAGUGUGUGGCCGCCUUAACUCUUGAGCCUGACGGGGCAACGAUGGAAUAAGGUUUUUAAUGUGCCCUACUGUGGUGAUGGCUAGCCGGAGGAGAACCCAUGGGAUUUUAUAUUGUAUGUGUAACAAGCCCUGCAGGCAUUGACCAAUUCAAACAGUGUGCACAAUAUUAAGGGGCCCAAAAUUUAAAAAGAAGUUGUGUAGAGAAAGAAAUGUGUGAAUGACAUGAGGAGAACUGAAGCAUGGUCCUGACCCUGAUUUGUACAUAUGAACAUAUCGACCUUUUGUGGGUUAUUUCAAUUAUCAGUGAGAUGUUUGUAAUAAAGUGUGAAGUUAUGUUUUGAAAAUAAAUUGGGUUAUUUAAUACUUAUGUAUAAUAUGUUUGAGACCCACUUUAUGUUUAAUGUAAAUAAUGUGAAAUAA